rnacentral:pre_miRNA from 1 species
GUUCCCUGUACUCCAUGCGUCUAAAAUAAACGUAGCCCGUCUUAUUUAAAAUUUUUCUAUAAUUAGCAUAUUAUUAUUAUUAGAUUAUAAAACAUGAAUAGUUAUGUUUUUAUUUUUUAAAAAAAUUUAAAUAAGAUGGACGAUUAAAGUUGUGCACGGAAAUUCAUGACUGCGUUUAUU